UCCCUGGUGGUUUAGACGGUAAAGAACCUGUCUGCAAUGCGGGAGACCCGAGUUCGAUCCCUGGGUCAGGGAA
rnacentral:tRNA from 1 species